AAUGUUGAUGGAGCAGUGUUACUAAGGGUGCAGGGUGGUGGUGUGCUAUGGAGCAGCAUUUCUCUCAGUAAUGUGACAAGAGCACAUGAGUGAAAGAUAAUGGAUAAACUGCAUUUGCUGUGUCUUCUGGGAAGCUUAAUAAUAAAAAGUGUAUUUUAAUUGUUAGAACUAUCUCUGAAUCAUCCUUGGUUUCUCAGCGAGUACAGAAACUAAAAUGCUACCCAUCACAGGGCUGAGAGAGGAGAAACUAGGUGUACAGUACUUCUACAAAACAGGGCCAGAUUUCUCCGAAGCUGCAGAGACAAUGCACAAUUACAAAGACACCCAUCACAGUAAAUUUCACAUAUGAUUUUUUUUAAUAAGAAUUUCCUGUAAUAAUUCCAGUAUGCAAUGAGCAAAUACUGUAUUUUAGCUGUAAACCUCAUGCUCCUAAAUCACAGUAAAUUAAAUUAUCAGAUUCUGUGUUGUGGUAUGAUUUUAUCUCCCAAUUUCAUAUUGAAUAGACUACUGUAAAUCAGAGCUGAUCGUAUAAUAAAGCUGCCACUGAACUGGAAUGAGGGCAAGCUGCCACGCUUUAUUAAUGUUGCUGCUGGAACUAAAAUGGAAGUAUAAAAACCAGAGUCUACCACAUGUACUCAGUCUACCAUGGGAAGUAACCAGAGAGGCUGUUCUGCCUACCGUCUCUGCUGCUGGGAAAGGGGGUUUGAACUUCAUCACUUUCUUCUCCAGAGAAGACAGCAGAAGAACAUAAGACAAUGCAAAAUGCCUUAUUGGCUUUUCCUGGAGUCUCUGGAGGGCUUGUCAAGCUGCACCUGGAACAAGAAUCUGAUCUUGAAAUCUGCACUAUAGAAGAUCUGCAGCUCUGUAGAGCAAAAAUAGACAAUAGUUCUGUUACUUCAGAAUCAAGCAGCAUCUAUCCAAGUACUGUUUUACCAUUUUGGUUGGUAAAGGUAUGACAUUUGAUGGUUUUAGAAUUUUCAUUAAUGAGUUUCUAACUGAGAACUAUUUUUCCAAGUGAAGAACAAUGGAGGCAUGGAAAGGAACCUGUAAAAAAUUAACAGGAAUAAGGUGUUUUCUCUAAAAACUACUUUAAGCAUUUUGGGUGUAUGCUCAAAGUCAUCAGUAGAAACGUACAGAUGGACCAAAUCCAUGUCUCACUGAUGGUACUUCCCAUUACUCUACUAAAAUUUUGUGUUGCCACUGCCUACUAUCAGGACAAUUUUAUCAAUAUUUACUUGAUAGAAAUGUACACCAGAUAACUUUUCAAGGCAGUCAGAGACCUCUUUUCCCUUCUGUUCAGCCACUUAGCCCAGCUGCUGUUUUAGCAAUUCUUCCUAGACAGGUUUUGGCAAGACAAAAGCAGUGGUGAGUGCACUACAAAGAACAAAAACAGCAAAUGUACAACAUUACACCGGAAGAGCUGCAGAACUAGUGAAAGUGCUGGUCUGAAAAGUCUUUGCAAUUACAAAACUUUGUCCACUCGAGGGAGGACCAUGAGAGGGAUAUGAUGUUACAGAAAUAGAAAUCAUCAUUUUUUUUUUUCUGGACAGAAGAGUUAAAUGUUCUUAUGUGCUUGUUUGCUUACUUGUUUUAAUGUUGCAAGGUAACCUGUAAAGUUUUGAAGACACUGAGUUCCAUGACAAUUAGAACAGUGAAUCUAAUUAAAAAAAAAAAAAAAAAAGCUGUUCUUUGCUACAGAACUUUUCACUGUUUGUGAUUUCCAUGAUUUCUAAGAUGGAAUUUCUGUUAUGAAUUUGUUUUUGCUGUGAAUUAUUUUCUACUUAUCUUUUUUGCAGUAAAUACAGUGUAUUUAAUAAUGAAUGCAGUGAUUGCUAUUGUAUUUAUCUUAAUGUGCAAUAAAAUGCAUUGUACAGUAGGGGUUCUAUCCAUGAAGAACAGCAUGUAUUUAAAUUUACAUUUCAUAUUUUAUGAGGUGAAAAGAUUAUUACUAUAGAAUGGAAACACUAUCUAUUGCUGCUUUAUCACUCCAUUUCAACAUUACAUGCUCCCAGUAGUCUAAAGGGAAUGCUUAAAUCCAGUACAUUCCCAUCACUUCCAGUGCAUAGAAGCAUCAGUGUCAGAGCAUAGGUAACAUCACAUGCAGGCAGCUCUUAUGCUAGAAUCUACUGGAGUGCAGUGGUGGAGAAAAAUUGCUCAUAGUAGGUCAGGAAUCAUCUCUAGACAUUUGGACAUUAUUUCUGGGUAGAAAACAACACAUUUUUCUGGAGCAUCUGUAUGUGUAAUAUACGUCACUCCUCCUGGCUUUGUACUCUUUGUGGAAAUAGGAGGUAUCCUGAAAGUUCACUUUGCCUCAGGAAUGUAGGUGAUGCCGGGGAUUAAACACAAGAUUUUAUCACAAAAACAAACAAACAAACAAACAAACAAAUCAUAUUCCAUGAGCAAGUUGCAUCUUUUAUUAGACACAGAUGUUAAUUUUCCAGGAGGCAAUACUACCAAUACUAACACUGAGAUUAAAUCCCUACUUAUAUUCAUUCCCUUCUACGCCUUCUACACCGUACCAGUUAUUGGCAUUCAUCAGCAGUCUGGCUUACUGAAGGAGAAUAUUAAGCUCGUACAGCUAAUGCUUCAGCUUAGGCUCUUGUCAUCUCAAAAAGCAAUUUUGUUCUCCCCAAAAUGUUUAAACAAGGAAACUUGAGAAGUUUAAGCAGAAGGUAUUUGUGGUAGCCGCUGGGCCUAAGUUGAUAGGACCCUGCCUACAGGUGCCUAGCAACAUACCCUGGUUUCUGCUAGUGCUCUCAUGGAGCUUGUCAUCAGUUUAAUUGCACCCUCAAAGCAAAGUAGCAUUGUUUUCUUAUAUCCUAAGGCUCAGGAUUCAAGCUUUUCCCAACAGCUACAGGUAAUUAACUUGUCAGCAGUGAAGUGAAUUCUACCAUGUAUACAUAGUUAUUUUGAAUGUUUGGAAGAACAUUAAGUAGAUUAGAGUUUUUUCUAAUUCCAGUUCAUUAGGUUUAUGAAGAUUAUAUGACAAACAGAUGUUAGAUUCGUGGUCCAUGUCCACCAGGUAGCAACACCUAGGUUGGCAUGUUGCUGUUGUGAUGUAAAACAAAUGGAGAGCUUCUGGGUAGUGAAGGUCCAUAUAAUUAUACACAUCUGCAGAAAUCACAGCAUGGUACAUGGUGUUACGAAUUUGAGUAGAAAGUACUUGUUCUUCAAAAAAAUUAUAUUUAGGAAGAGAAACUUGCAAACUAUAAAAUGUUUUACUUACCAUUUCUUAUUCAUGGAAUAAAUGAAUGUGUUGCAAGAAUGCUUCUCUGUGGAAUGAUCAAGUUCUUCAAUGUAAACAAUGCUAACCUAAACACAUGAAAGGGUGUAGCAUAAUUCUGUGGAUAUUCUAGUACAGUGUUGGCAUGUAGCAUAUGAACAGCAUGAUACAAUCUUGUUGUGAACAUGAGUUUGGGAUAGCUGUAAAAAGGUGCAAAUGGAUAAGUUGCUGUGGACCAAGCAACAGAUCAUUUAACCACAUGUAAUCAUCUAAUGCCAUGGUUUAUAAAAAAUUGGCCCGUUCAUUUUUCUCUCUCAACCUACUCAGUGUGUUCCAGAAGGUGCAAACUGCAUCUACUUGUCCUUUACAAACAGCAUGUCAAAUAAGGAGGGCUCAGUGUUUGGAGCUUGAGGUUAGUGUUUCCACCAUGAAUCUUUUCUCAUGGAUAGAGCAGAGGUCUUUCUAUGUGAGAUGACAUUGGGAAUGUGCUGAAUACAUACCUCUACCAACAAUUUUAAGUGCCUUUCCUUAGAGAUGCUUUGUUUUUGAACUCUUCUGGUGACUAAUCAUCCCUACAACAGAGUAGCUGUGUGUUGGUGUGGCAGGAAGCUGCAGCACCCAUCUCUGGCUAUUUCUGUGAUAAGCCUGCUUGUCUGCAGACAUCACCCUGAACUGAUUUUGGACAAUCCUGUACUUUUGUAUUACUACAACUGACUGGAAGGUUGGUGUCUGCCAACAUGCACCACAACAAUUUUUCUCUCAGUGAAGAAGUAGCAUGCUUUGUCUGAGGGCAUACUCAUUAACUGUAUCUGCAAUAAAAAGUUCAUAUGUGGGACUGA
ensembl:lncRNA